UUCCUCCCAAAGUUGCUUGGUGGAAGAGGAAAACCUUUCCAGAUAACAGGAAGACCAUUCUUCCCACAAGGGUAUACUAGUAGCUGCACUCCUCUGCUAGGCCCUCCAAACAUGAUUAACUCAGGAUUAACUACUAGAAAAAUGUAAGGCAUUGUUUC
rnacentral:sRNA from 1 species